rnacentral:ncRNA from 2 species
GUCGGGGGAAACCCGUCUGAUAGCGCU